rnacentral:rRNA from 1 species
AGGUGUAAUCAUACCUGCACUAAUGCACCGGAUCCCAUCAGAACUCUGCAGUUAAGCGUGUCUGGACGAUAGUAGUACUAGGAUGAGUGACCUCCGGGGAAGUUCUCGUGUUUCACCUU